AAGAGCCGCAGAGUGGGGAGGAGAGAGGGACAGAGAGCCUGCUUCUUUAAAGGAGCAAAGCGGGCUCCUGUCCGGCUGGUUCCUUUAAAGCAAGCAGGCUCUCUGUCCCUCUCUCCUCCCCACUCAGCUCGCUAAA
rnacentral:miRNA from 1 species